GAAUCUUGCGCAAUGGGCGAAAGCCUGACGCAGCCAUGCCGCGUGAAUGACGAAGGUCUUAGGAUUGUAAAAUUCUUUCACCGGGGACGAUAAUGACGGUACCCACAGAAGAAGCCCCGGCUAACUUCGUGCCAGCAGCCGCGGUAAUACGAAGGGGGCUAGCGUUGUUCGGAUUUACUGGGCGUAAAGCGAACGUAGGCGGUUUGUUAAGUUAGAGGUGAAAUCCCGGAGCUCAACCCCGGAACUGCCUUUGAUACUGGCAAGCUAGAGUCCGGAAGAGGUGAGUGGAACUCCUAGUGUAGAGGUGGAAUUCGUAGAUAUUAGGAAGAACACCAGUGGCGAAGGCGGCUCACUGGUCCGGUACUGACGCUGAGGUGCGAAAGCGUGGGGAGCAAACAG
rnacentral:rRNA from 1 species